ensembl:lncRNA
UGUUUUCUGCGUUUUAAUUCAUAGUACUGAUGUUUUUAGAUAACGCUCACGAUGUCAAAGCACAGCAUCACCCUGCUGAUCGCCAUAGCGCUGGCUGUGGUGUUCUUCGUCAUCACCAUGGUGUUCUCUGCUUUGGCAGCAUCUGGAAAACAUCCAUUUUUACAGUCCACCAGUAAUAUUUCAGAUGAGUUUGUAACCCAGAUCACACCAGCAGGAUGGACCUUUAUCAUCUGGUCGUUCAUUUACAUCUUCCUUGCUUUGGUGUUGGUGUACGUCCUCUCCGGCAUCUUUAGAAAAAAUACGCACGGUUACGUCUACUGCAGUCCGGCUGUUUUGCCACAUGGAUUUUAUGUGGUUUGGUGCUUGAAUCUGACUCUCAACACUACAUGGUUGUUCAUGUGGGACAGAAAGUUGAUGGGUGCCGCGCUGGCUUUCCUCAUCCUAAUCACCCUAACGAACUACGCGUUGAUAUUCUUCUCCUGCCAUGGUCUCCACAACUAUGGCGCCUGGCUCAGCAAGUACCACAAAGUCGACCUGUGGCUUCAGCGCGUUCUGGUCCAGAACGGCAUCGCCAUAUAUGCGACGUGGACAACAAUCGCCUCUCUGGUCAACCUGUCCAUCGUGCUGAAUUACGAUGCCAACGUGUCCCCAGCGGACGCUGCCACCGCCUCCCUGUCAAUUCUGACUGUACUGUUGGUCGUGUGGUUCUUCCUGGAAAACUUUGUCCUCGACAAACAUGUGAGGUACAUCUUGACCAUUUACCCCUUUGUGAUCUGGGCGGUGACCGGGGUGUUCUCGAAGAACAACAACGCUGCAGAUCCCAGUCCAAAUAACAUCUUCACCACCAUACUCUUGGCCGCAGCCUGUGUCAUGUGCACUGCACGGAUAGCUCUGGUCACCUGGAAGCACAUCAAAAGGCCAUUGUACAAAGACGCCAGCGCGGACAGCAUGUCUCCGAUGGAGAUCGCUGGGAGGCAGAAAAACAUAUUCAUCUAAGAGUGUUUGAUGGAUACUUUGAGGAUAAACCUUUCUGUAUUCAUGCAGUAGUGUUCCUGUAUGACGUGUAAAUUCUAAACGCUUGACUGUAUGACUGAUUUUUGACACAAAAUCUAGAUUCUUAAAAUGAGUUUUACAAAGAUGAGUAGAUUAAAUGGAAUGUUGCUGAGGACAAAUUGAAGUUGUCUCAUGUGCUCAGCUUUAAAUACACGCCGUUCUCAAACUGCACUCUGGGUUAUAAUGACAUGUUUAAUUAAUUUCAGUUGUAUUUAGAAAAAUGUUAUGUGUGCCUGUGUUUCAUUUUACAUGCUUUUAAAAAUAAAUGUGACUUUCCUAACAUUUUCCGUUUCUGUGGAAUACAUUGUGGUAUGUGAGAGAUAACAGAUACCGACAUUGUUGAAGUACCCCUAUGCCAACAUAAGGGAUCAUUCAUUAUAUUCAUCAACUGCUGCAUGAGUAACUGUCCUAUUUGUUGAUGUUAUUGUACUGUAAACGCCUUUCUGAGAAAGUUAACGAACUGACAAGUGUGCAUGUCAAAAAAUAGAGCGAAACACAUGAGGAAUAAAACCAACAAAAAUAUAAGUUAAAAUAAAAACAAAAUGUCGAGUGAAAAAUGUUAUUGCAUAUAAACAGUUCAAACUGGUCUUACGUGAAAAAACUACGGAACAAGAACGGUCAUCAAUCGGCCUUCUGGCUGGUUCAUUCGGGUCAUUUGGGGAUUUGUCUGCAGUAUAUAAACUGAAUGGUUGACUUUAUGUCGAAUAUCAAACUCUGCCAGAUUCAUCUCAUGUCAUCUCGAAACAAAGCCUGAUCUUUAGACUUUAGAUAGUUAAUCUAAACGUUAAUUGUCCGUUUCUAGGGACACAGGGUUUAAUUUCCGAUGAAAUAGCUUUGACAAGGCAUAUAGAUUACCAUUCACUGUGUUUCAUAAUAAUUGAUACUAUGAAGGAAAAUAUUUGUUCAGUUACGUUUUAUUGUUUUAUUACUCACUGCAGGAUGGCAGAAAUGUAUGUAAGAUAAGAGCAGCGCGUGAUGAUUGUAAACCUCCUUACACAACUAGUUAUCCUAUAAAGAGAAGGUCCGGGUUACUCGCCACAGUCACUCAGCUCACAAAGAGAAGGCCAAACGAGGGUAGGUCUUUAUCAUGUAGGCACUUUUUUUUUUCUGCCAAUGUUUUACCAUCCUGAAAGAAAGCAGGCUGCGCAGCAGUGGAGUGUGGACCUUCCUGAAGUUACAUAAAUUGUGACAUCAGAAAGAUAUAACUUGAUUUUUAAAUGUAUUAUUAAAUUUAUUUUCUUUACUUUUUUAACAGGCUUUUAAAAAUGCUUUUUUAUGGUGGCGAUCUUCAAAAUAAGGCAACUGGGGAUUUAUUAGAGCAGAACGACUUAAUGUAAUUGUUUGAAUGCCUUAUGAGGUGAGGGAUUAUUAUCACUUGUCAAGGUCAGGUUCGAAUACAGGUUUUCAGGUAUAGAGUUGGAAGGGAUUACAUAUCUUCCUCCAGGACACAUUUCUUUGAGCAAAACACUAUUUACUAACUAUAUAAAAAAUGCUACAAUGUAGUAAAUGUACCAAAGAUCUAAUCUGCACAUGUAACGUUCCAUAUUUCCAUUGUAAGUCUUUCAUUCUUCAUUUGUUUCCUCUUUUCAAUCGUUUUCAGUUACGCAAUAGACCACAAUGAAAAAACACAAUCCAGGACGUCUCGUUGCCGUAGUGGUUUCUGUUGUCGGCUAUGCGAUAAGUUUGGUCUUCAACGGGCUUUCUGUGGUCGGAGUCGGUAAGUCAAAGCUUUCUUAUCGUUGUUUCUAGUUUCAAUUUUCACUUUGUCAUUGAGCCUUUUAAAGUUGUUUCACGAAUAAUACAACAUGUUACACUCCUGUCCUUCCUCACGAGUCGCCUUCUUCUUCUGUCCCGACAGGUCCUUAUGGUACCACCACGGGAAACGUGUCUGCAGUGUUUGACACCCAGAUCACACCAUCGGGUUGGACCUUCAGCAUCUGGAGCGUCAUCUACGUCUGGCUGACGCUAAUGAUAAUCUACAUCAUCGCUGGACUUUUCAGAAAGUUGGUGUCAAUUUCCCUUUAAGUGCAAACAGCAACCUGUAUCUUUGUAAUCGCUUUGUUUUGUUGAGUAUUAACAAAGAACGGUUGCCUGAAUUGACAAUCACUGUUCUGUGGACAUUGUACAGACUGAAGCAUAAACUGUGGUUCUUUUUUGUCGCAGGAAUGGUUAUGGCUACGUCUACUGCAGCCCUGCAGUGUUGCCUUAUGGAUUCUUCGUCAGCUGGUGCCUGAAUCUGUGCGUCAACAUUGGCUGGCUGCUUGUCUGGGACCGAGGGUGAGGGGCUCCAAUGGCUCCUUUGAUUGUCGUUUGUGAAUUAGUCAACCUAAUUUAAGUUUUCAUACCUCAUUUUUCUGCUGUCCUCCUGUAGAGAGAUGAUCGUUGCACUGGUUUUUCUCUUCCUGGUCAUCUGCACAAACUACUCCAUGAUAUUCUUCACAUGCCAUGGACUUCAUGUUUAUGGAGCCUGGCUGAAGAAAUACCACAAGAUAGACCUGUGGCUCUUCCGUGUGCUGGUUAGUAUGACAAAUACGCAAUAAUUGCUUCUCAUUUCGUUCAAAUAUUGUACAUAUAAAAGUGUAUGUAUGAUGUGAAAGCCCACUUAUGCUUAACUAAGAAGAAAAUAUCAUACUUCAUUCACAGGUUCAAAACGGAGUGAUGAUAUACACCACAUGGACAACCAUUGCGACACUAAUCAACCUGACCAUCGUACUGACCUACAAUGCAGAGAUGUCCCCAACGGAUGCUGCAACCGUCUCGUACUCGGUUUUGUCCGUCCUGCUGCUUGUGUGGUGAUUGCUCUCUACUUUCAAAAAACGGUCAUUAGAGAAGUUCUGUCAAAAAACAUGCUGGGAUUCUAAGGAUUGGUGUUUUUUCCAGGUUUGUUUUGGAAAACUUCGUCCUCGACAGACACGUGCGGUACAUCCUCAUCAUCUACCCGGUCGUGAUCUGGGCGCUGUGUGGAAACCUGGUCAAGAACUAUGAUGCGGAAUCACCCACCCGUAGCGGCAUUUUCAUUGGUAAGCCUACUAGACAACAAUAAUAUGUGACAAAUGUCUCUACAAUCAGCUGUCCACAUCACUUUAACAUAAGGUCCUUAGGCAUAUCCCCUUAAACACAACUGAUAUAAAGUAAUACAGUAAAUAUAGACAUU